rnacentral:rRNA from 1 species
UGGGGAAUUUUGGACAAUGGGCGAAAGCCUGAUCCAGCAAUGCCGCGUGUGUGAAGAAGGCCUUCGGGUUGUAAAGCACUUUUGUCCGGAAAGAAAUCCUUGGCUCUAAUACAGUCGGGGGAUGACGGUACCGGAAGAAUAAGCACCGGCUAACUACGUGCCAGCAGCCGCGGUAAUACGUAGGGUGCAAGCGUUAAUCGGAAUUACUGGGCGUAAAGCGUGCGCAGGCGGUUUGCUAAGACCGAUGUGAAAUCCCCGGGCUCAACCUGGGAACUGCAUUGGUGACUGGCAGGCUAGAGUAUGGCAGAGGGGGGUAGAAUUCCACGUGUAGCAGUGAAAUGCGUAGAGAUGUGGAGGAAUACCGAUGGCGAAGGCAGCCCCCUGGGCAAUACUGACGCUCAUGCACGAAAGCGUGGGGAGCAAACAGGAUUAGAUACCCUGGUAGUCCACGCCCUAAACGAUGUCAACUAGUUGUUGGGGAUUCAUUUCCUUAGUAACGUAGCUAACGCGUGAAGUUGACCGCCUGGGGAGUACGGUCGCAAGAUUAAAACUCAAAUGAAUUGACGGGGUCAUAGCUGUUUCC